AAACCAACAGGGAUUGCCCUAGUAACGGCGAGUGAAGCGGCAACAGCUCAAAUUUGAAAGCUGGCCUUCGGGUCCGCAUUGUAAUUUGUAGAGGAUGCUUUGGGUGAAACGCCAGUCUAAGUUCCUUGGAACAGGACGUCAUAGAGGGUGAGAAUCCCGUAUGUGACUGGAAAUGUUAACCUAUGUAAAGCUCCUUCGACGAGUCGAGUUGUUUGGGAAUGCAGCUCUAAAUGGGAGGUAAAUUUCUUCUAAAGCUAAAUAUUGGCGAGAGACCGAUAGCGCACAAGUAGAGUGAUCGAAAGAUGAAAAGCACUUUGGAAAGAGAGUUAAAAAGCACGUGAAAUUGUUGAAAGGGAAGCGCUUGCAAUCAGACUUGUUUAAACUGUUCGGCCGGUCUUCUGACCGGUUUACUCAGUUUGGACAGGCCAGCAUCAGUUUCGGCGGCCGGAUAAAGGCUCUGGGAAUGUGGCCUUCACUUCGGUGAAGGUGUUAUAGCCCAGGGUGUAAUACGGCCAGCCGGGACUGAGGUCCGCGCUUCGGCUA
rnacentral:rRNA from 1 species